rnacentral:sRNA from 1 species
ACAGUGGCUGAGCUAGUUACCGGAGCUGCUUAUGUGGAUACCACACUCAGGGGAGAACUCCAGAUACUUUUCACCGGGACAGUCCACUGGGCGGAUUUAAAAAUAAAAUCGGUCGAGCCAACAGCACAGCUCAGAAGAAAAGCUUCCUGUUUUGUGGUCAUCGAGUGUCAGGCCCACUGCGAAAUCUAGGGUUGCUUGAUUCUUUUGAAAGAGCAUCGAAGUGCCCACGAAGUGGAUGACUCCAAGGUCCCCUAACUGGGGACACUGCUGCGAAUUUGGAGUGCUGCUUGCCUGGGAGGAACAGUUGGGGCAGUCACAAAAGGAAAAAAGCUCUUGUCAGAAUCACACAAAAAGACUGAAAGCUGAUGUCACGCACGGAUGUGUGUUUGGUAUUCCCAGUUCUGGAGCGGAUGGAUGCCUCGGGGAGGGAUGUCAGGUCUGCUCCGGUCAGGAUCGGAUGGAUGCGGUUUGAAGUUUGAGCUUUCUUCCUAAGAUUCUUUCUAGGCACUUAACCCAGCAAACGCUAUAAAAAUCAAUUAACUAUCUGCAUCCGUUUUCCCUUUGAAUGUAUUGUAGCGUUUUAUUGGAAGCUCUAAGGGGGAUUUCGGGCCACUUCAGCUCUCCUGAUUAGGACAAAAGUGUAAAGAAAUUGUAUUUGAGGUGGUGUGGUUAUCAAACUGUUUAAUCUAGUCAUUAUGGUCAGCAAGGAGGAACUGGGAGACAUCUUGGUUCUUAAGGGCACUUGCUGCUCAGCCUGAAGCCGGGAUUCUUGUUCCCAGCACCCACUUUGCUGGCUCACAGCCUCCUGUUACUCCAGCUCGGAGAAUCUGACGCCCUCUUCUGGCUUCAACAAGCACUGCAGUGUGGCAUACACCAUGCCUGGGGAUACACAUACAUCGGAAAUAACAAUAACCAAAAUUUUAAGUGUAACAUUUCCCUUAGAAACAGAGUAAAACAAAGACAGUCAUCUUCUGAAUGUAAUUGUGUUUAACCCCCAAACUUCACCCUUUGUUCUAAAAUUACUCUCCGUCAAUAUUUUUAUUCCAUUAAAAGAUUGCUUGAGCCCUUUUA